CUGGCGGCAUGCCUAACACAUGCAAGUCGAACGAGAUCUUCGGAUCUAGUGGCGCACGGGUGAGUAACGCGUGGGAACCUACCUUUUAGUACGGGACAACGUCUGGAAACGGACGCUAAUACCGUAUACGCCCUCCGGGGGAAAGGCUUGCCGCUAAAAGAGGGGCCCGCGUCUGAUUAGCUUGUUGGUAAGGUAAUGGCUUACCAAGGCUACGAUCAGUAGCUGGUCUGAGAGGAUGAUCAGCCACACUGGGACUGAGACACGGCCCAGACUCC
rnacentral:rRNA from 2 species